GUGAAUACAGCGUGAGCGCGCAUUUUCUAAUGGCUGCUGAUCACUAUUGCAGAAAGAUCAAAGCAAGGCCAACCAGGAUGAGAUGAAAAUGUGUAUCAAGAGUUCAACCAGAUAGUGUGGAAGAAUCUUAAGCAAGAAUUAUAUUGGUCUCUUGAUCAUCACUGCCCACAGCUGAUUCGGAUCUUCAGGUCAAAGAGAGGAUUCACUGGACAGAUUUUUAUCUUCUACAAAAUAUCAAGGCGUCUGACCUCACUGACAUGCCUUGUGUUGCCAUUUGAGUGCUUCCAGUAGUUGUUGGUGAUGACCCAACAGUUCUUCAAAGCAUGUUUUGCUUCAGAUGAUGGAGACUCAAAUCAACAUGUGCCCGUUGGAAUUCUUAACCAAGAAAAUUAAGAUGUGGCUCUGCAACCCCUGUCCUUCCACCUCCACCCAUUCUCUGGGAAUCAUCUUGGAGGGAAAUGUUGUAAUGGACAAUAUAGACAAUAUACCCCAGGCCAAGUGUCUUUUUGGAUCAACCUAUGCACUGCACCUAGGCUACACAAAAUGCAUGGACAAUACCCUUCUUUUUAUUCAACAAGUUUGGGUAAGAAGAUGCUGAAGGGUAAGAUUCUGGCUGUUAAAAAUCAACUUGUCAUGUAAACUGGUACAGAAAAGGCAUGUUCCUUCAGGCUUGCUGUCCUAACUGUGAGAUAAAAAAAAUUAAAACUAUGCUUUAGUGUUUGGCAAGUGUAAAUAUUCCAUAAUGUUAAAAUGUAAUAACAUCCUGUGGUUGUUUAUUUUUUGGAUAUGUUUGUAAAAAUGUAUUUAAAAAUUUUAAACAAGUGUUUUAAUAAGAUUUAUAACAAUAAAUAUUGACUAAUUGUUAUACAAGGC
ensembl:processed_transcript